GCUAGAUUCAGAUGGUGUACCUCUAUGAACAAAUUUUAUGGUAUGUUUUGUAAGGGAAUGAACAAAAUCCAGGAAAGUCUGAACACAUGGAGAAGAGGCAACCAUGUUUAAAGUAAACUCAGAAGAGAAGCAGAGGAGAGACUGACUGGUGCUGGAGUUUGGCGAGAAAAGGCAAUCUGCAGAUUAAUACAGGCUCCAGGCCGG
rnacentral:lncRNA from 1 species